UUUAUUUGCUUUUUAUUUUUGCAUUUUGGACAUGAAUUCAACACAGAAAAAAUGUACGCUCCUGCAGUAAGUUGACACCACAAUUGUAAAAACAGUUAUUGUGUAAAAUUUUGGAAAACUUUGAAUUAUUUUUUUUUUACAUUUCUUAACAUUCUCUCCAAAAAGUGUGUGAUGUCAAUACAUAUUGCGGCAGAAGCCCUACCUCCCCAACCCACGCCAGCACUCCCACCCCAACCGCCAGCCCCACAACCACAGCCGGCUCCUCAUCAACCAAGGCAACGGAGGCGUGCUAGGCCACCAAUUUUCAGAACCCGUGUCAGACUUUUUGGGAUGCCAGAUGAUGUGGUGGUGCGUAGAUACCGGCUGCCACCACAUCUAAUCCUAGACACUCUCUCCAUAAUAGAGAGUGAUCUGGAGUCUGAAAUUCGGUAUCCUACAGCAAUACCACCAUUGACACAAUUCCUUGCAGUGUUACAUUUUUUGGCCACAGGAUCAUUCCAGCAUGUGGUUGGAGACCUGGUUGGCAUGUCGCAGGGCCAGUUCAGUAAGGUCCUGCGACGUGUCUGCCAGGCUUUCCUCAAGCGUGUUAAGCAAUUUAUUGCUAUGCCUUUGGAUGUUGGUGCCCUAGAUGUGGUGAAGCGGCAAUUUGCGGAAGGUGGUAGUCGCUUCCCACAUGUUAUUGGGGUUGUGGAUGGCACACAUGUAGCUAUUCAGCCACCAAAACAUAAUGAAGAAAUUUUUAGAAACAGGAAACUGUUUCAUUCUCUGAAUGUAAUGGUUGUUUGUGGGCCAUCCCUCCAGAUCCUUUCCCUGAACGCAAAGUUUACUGGAAGUUCCCAUGAUGCGUAUGUCAUUAGACAAUCAGGGAUAUGGCAGAGAUUAAGAUCAAGUCAACGACCAGACAUGUGGUUAUUGGGAGACCGUGGAUAUCCUUGCACCCCCUGGCUCAUGACUCCUUACCGUAAUCCCAGGCCAGGACCACAGAUGGCAUUUAACUCCGCGCUUACUGCCACUAGGCAGCUGGUGGAGCGCACAAUUGGUGUCCUGAAAGGGCGGUUUCGUGUUCUCCACCGCACUGGUGGCGACAUCAUGUAUUCGCCGGAGAUGGCAAGUAAAAUAGUGGUCCUGUGCGCAAUACUCCAUAAUAUCGCGGUAAGGAGUAGUGUAGAGCUUCCUCAGGCAGAGGAAUUGCCUGAUGAGGAGCCAGGGGUUGUGCCACGCUUCGGUGGGGGGAGUGUGACACGGAGGGGGAGCCAAGUGAGGGCAAGAAUUGUAGCAGAAUAUUUCAGCUGAAUUAUCACACGAACUGUGGACAACAACAACGGCAAAACUCCCCACCCCCUUCCCCUUCUCACUCCCCCUCCCCUUCUCACACCCCCUCCCCUUCUCACUCCCCCUCCCCUUCUCACUCCCCCUCCCCUUCUCACUCCCCCUCAGCUUCCCAGUCCCCCUCAUCUUCCCAGGCCCCAUCAGCUUCCCUGGCCCACUCCACUUUACAUUCCCCUUCUCACCACACCUCUCCAUCUCUUUCUGGGACCCCUUCUCCUCCUUCCCAUACCCCUUCUCCUUCAAAAUCAACAUCACAAUCUGAACCACCCUCACCCUCUAUUGCUUUAACUUUUUCUCCGCCCCCCUCGCCCUCUCAAUCAGACCCCCCCUCUGAAAUUGCGGACCAAAUCCAGCCUCCUUCCCCCAUCCAGCCUCCUUCCCCAAUCCCUCCUCCUUCCCCAAUCCCUCCUCCUUCCCCCAUCCAGCCGCCUUCCCCCAUCCAGCCAACAUCCCCACCAAGUGAAUGGGCAGAGGAAGCCCCUGCCGAACGUUCCGGGAGUCUGGAUGUUGCCGUGGAAAAUGUUGCAGUUGGAGAUCCCACAAGUUUUUCAGGGAUACUUUACACCAUGCGCCAACACCUGCAAGGAAUGAUGGAUUGUGUGGACCAUUUGCAAAAAUUUGCUUGA